CUCCUCCUCUCUUCCUGCUGGUGGAGGUGCCAGAUAUAUUGAUAUCCACUCCGCCUCACCUUCUGCACACAAUCGCAGGUGGGAAGAAGCUGUCGCAAGCCACUGCGAGCCGUCUGUCCAGGCUCCACAUGAGCUCCAGCACCUCGCCACCACGACGGCCUCGCCCUAUCUGUGUUCUGAACUCUGAGCCUCGACAAGACCCUGCAGAGUGCAGAGCCAGGCAUCCUCGGCCCCAACACCCUCAGCGCCCAGCUCCG